AACGAACGCUGGCGGCGCGUCUUAAGCAUGCAAGUCGAGCGACAAGGGGAAGCAAUUCCUCCUAGAGCGGCGGACUGGUGAGUAACGCGUGGGUGACCUACCUGGAGGAUGGGGAUAGCCGCUAGAAAUAGCGGGUAAUACCGAAUAGAGUUGCUUGACUAUAGUUGAGCAAGGAAAGGGGCUAUGGCCCCGCCUACAGAUGGGCCCGCGUUCCAUUAGCUAGUUGGUGAGGUAAAGGCCCACCAAGGCGAUGAUGGGUAGCCGGCCUGAGAGGGUGAACGGCCACACUGGGACUGAGAUACGGCCCAGACUCCUACGGGAGGCAGCAGCUAAGAAUAUUCCACAAUGGACGGAAGUCUGAUGGAGCGACGCCGCGUGUAUGAAGGAGGCCGAAAGGUUGUAAAGUACUUUUGCGGAUAAGGAAUAAGCGCAGGAGGGAAUGCCUGCGUGAUGACGAAGGUCCGUGAAUAAGCCCCGGCUAAUUACGUGCCAGCAGCCGCGGUAACACGUAAGGGGCGAGCGUUGUUCGGAAUUAUUGGGCGUAAAGGGCGCGUAGGCGGUUAAUCAAGUCUGACGUGAAAGGCAGAUGCUUAACAUCUGGACUGCGUUGGAAACUGGGGAACUAGAGUCAUGGAGGGGGAGUUGGAAUUCCUGGUGUAGGGGUGAAAUCUGUAGAUAUCAGGAAGAACACCGGUGGCGAAGGCGAACUUCUAGCCAAUGACUGACGCUGAGGCGCGAAAGUGCGGGGAGCAAACAGGAUUAGAUACCCUGGUAGUCCGCACAAUAAACGAUGCACACUAGGUGUUGGGCCGUGCGGCUCAGUGCCGGAGCGAACGCGAUAAGUGUGCCGCCUGGGGAGUAUGCCCGCAAGGGUGAAACUCAAAGGAAUUGACGGGGGCCCGCACAAGCGGUGGAGCAUGUGGUUUAAUUCGAUGAUACGCGAGGAACCUUACCUGGGUUUGACAUGCAGGGGAAUGUGGUAGAGAUAUCACAGCCCGCAAGGUGUCCCUGCACAGGUGCUGCAUGGCUGUCGUCAGCUCGUGCCGUGAGGUGUUGGGUUAAGUCCCGCAACGAGCGCAACCCCUACUGCCAGUUACUAGCAGGUGAUGCUGAGGACUCUGGCGGGACUGCCGGUGACAAACCGGAGGAAGGUGGGGAUGAGGUCAAGUCAUCAUGGCCCCUAUGUCCAGGGCUACACACGUGCUACAAUGGUCGGUACAGAAUGAAGCGAAUCCGCGAGGAAAGAGCGAAACAGGAAAGCCGGCCGUAGUUCGGAUUGAAGUCUGAAACCCGACUUCAUGAAGUUGGAAUCGCUAGUAAUCGCGCAUCAGCAUGGCGCGGCGAAUACGUUCCCGGGC
rnacentral:rRNA from 1 species